AAUGGAAUUGCUGGGCCAUAUGAUAACUCUAUAUUAAACUUUUUAGGGACCGGCCACACUGUUUUCCAGAGUGUCUUCAUCAUUUAUAUUCCCACCAGCAAU
rnacentral:pre_miRNA from 1 species